rnacentral:rRNA from 1 species
UUGCAAAGUAUUCUGAAAUAUAAAGAGUCCUGCCUGCCCAGUGACUUAGUUAACCGGCCCGCGGUAUUUUGCCCGUGCAAAGGUAGCAUAAUCAUUUGCCUCUUAAAUGGAGGCUGGUAUGAAUGGCAAGACGGGGAAUCAAGCUGUCUCUUUCUUAUACCUGGAAGUUAAUAUUUUUGUGAAGAAGCAAAAAUAAGAUCGCAGGACGAGAAGACCCUAUCGAGCUUCAGUAGAGACAGGUGUGCAAGUAUUAAUGGUGUUUCAGCAGCUAAUAGAUUAUUUAGAAAUAGUCUUGAGUUUACUUGCUAAAACAAUUGUAUUGUUCAUCCUAUACUUAGGUUGGGGCAACCACGGAGAAUAAGAACCCUCCGUUAAGUUACUGGUAAAGUUACUUCUUUCUGGUGCAGGAAUUUUGCAAUAAAAUGAUCCACUUUAAGGAGUGAACAAAGGAAAAAGUUACCGUAGGGAUAACAGCGUAAUUUCUUUGGAGAGUUCAUAUUGAUAAAGAAGUUUGCGACCUCGAUGUUGGAUCGGGAUUUCCUGGAGAUGCAGCAGUUUCCGAGGGUUGGUCUGUUCGACCAUU